rnacentral:lncRNA from 1 species
CAACUGGGAGGAAAUUCCUUACGCUCGUAUCAUUGAGACCCUACGUAGGGGUUCUACAUGGCACCUUGUCAGCAAACUCUUGGCAUGGGUACUAUUACAUCUACUAUUCCUAUAGUUGGAGCAGGAAACGAGAAGCUGUUUGCCUCCAGUGAAUCGUUGUGCAAUUUCAAACAAGAGCAGAGCUACACUGUAGGUGCCAGAGAAGCCACUUGCGAAUGGCCCAGCAUCCAUAAUCAUGUAAGCGGGCGUUGGGAGGACUGGCACUUGGGACAUGGCCCGAUAACUGGCAAUUCAGCCUAAGGUCAGGCUGCACUGCACUUGGUCCAAUGCAGUUCUCCCAUGUUCUCAGGUAUUAUUUAUUUGAAGAUUUGGAGAGAAUUAGAAAGAACUCAUAUACGACUGUGUCGAUUAAUGCUUAUUAUAAAAUGCUAUGCAUACCUCACAUAGGUUUUGGAGUACUUAAUCUGCCAUGUGGUAUUUGCAUAAUCUCUUCCAAGGUCAGUUUAGAUUUUUCAAAGAUGCAUCAUCCAAGAAUCAAAUCUAAAAGUUCUGAUUGUUAAGCCAGUACAGGACAUGGCUCGCUUAUUUCAAACAAAGAUAAAGAUGGAGCAAACGAUCAAUAGUUCGUAUGCGCUCACACCAAUGUUGCAAUAUAUAUGUUAUGAAGUCCACUGUGAAUUAACAACAUAAUUUAUAGACAGAAAAGUAUACAGCCUAAUGAUCUAUAAUUUUUUUCUUUUUUGAGUAUUACAUUUUGUAAAAGUGGACUCUUCUCCAUGUUCUUACUGAAACCUUCGCUCAUCUUCAUGAACACUUAACCUCUUUUCGAUAUGCAGAAAAAAACUUGAGUUGGAUCAUGUUCACCAGCUCCAUAGUGGAUCAGUUCGAUCAUCGAGCAACAUAUGCAACGACAUCUGUAUUGCACUAUUUUCCCUCCAAUUUUUUUCUCUAUAUUUGCGUAUGUUUCUUUGUGGUGGGAUUGUGUCACCACUGGGCUGGUGGACUUGGUCCAACCAAUAACAAUCAUGAUAUGGAGAGCCCAUCAAAAGUUAUGACUCUUUGUUUUUCUAUUUAAAAAGAGGAAUUGAUGCAUGGCUUGGACCAAAUAACAGGAGCCAACCCUGGCGCAAGCCAGCUGGCUGACGGGUGAGAUUGGCGCAUAGGAAUGCGUGUAGAAGGGAAAGGGUUGGUGGGUGGGGUGUCAAGCGGGACGAGCUUCUUGGCUGCCAUCCCGUACACACGCCUCGAGGCCAUCUCUGUCAUGCUCCCUCGUAAGCCAGAGAACGGUGUAAGACUGUUCACAUGAUGAUGGGUGGAUGCAUACGGAGAAAAAGAAGAAACAUUACACAUGUCAUGUCUUGUUGAAUCGACGGACCCAACUCAUGAACUCAAUCAGGCCGGCCCCGAAAUCCCGUAUUGGCAACCCCACCUCGGCCUUUGCUCACGCCUUCCUACUUUGGCUGCCUACUGGCUAGCAUGGAAGAGAGAGAGAGAGAGAGGGAUGGUUACAGUGAGCGGGAACCUACCAUGAUGAGUCCAUUUCAAAAGCUUAAUUUUAACUGCAAUAACAUUGGAUCUAUCUAUGAUAUUACAUCCAUAGGGUGUCACGGGAGGAGAAAAAGGAGAGCACCAACACACGUGAAUGGGAGCACCAACUGUGCAUGGUUUUUUUUUGGGA